AGAACAGGGGCUAGAGUUCGAGAGUGUACUUGUGAGUUUUCAAAACAAGUUGCACGUAUCUGCAACGGCAAUACUGAACUCUGCAAUUAACAGGAAAAGGAAUGGUGACCGCAGAUGGUGAACUGUAAAGGCUCUCUGUGAGAUGUCUCCAGUGCUCUCCUUCCAAGAAACUGCCCAUUUCCAAAUUUAGCCUACUGGGGAGCCGUGAAAAGAGAGUGGAAUUCAGAGUCAGAAGACCCAGAUUAUCUAUAGCUAUGACUGAAUUCUGACUUAGAGUAAUGACGGCCAAAAGGAAGAACCGACAAAAGGUGCUAUUGUAGGAAAAAUAAGAAUUCAUGAGGAGUCCGUGAAAACGGAGCGCAACUCAUCAUGUAUGAAGUCUGGGACGACCACCCCAUGGAUUACAGUAUUGUUGAAUGAGGACACAGUCAUAAGCUUAACCUCCAUGUAAAGGUAGGAGACCCAGUAAACCAGAUUGAACAGGCAGAAGGCGGUGGGGAAGAAGAUGCGUGCGUAGGAGUCCAUUUUGGCGAUCCGGAUGUGUAUCCUCCCGUGUCUCCAGGCUCCUGUUCGGCAGUCUUCAAAACAGCAGAAAAAGCUAGCGCAGUCCUUGCCAUCCAGACACUCGUACCCGUAUUCCUCAUCUCGCUCCUGCAGAUUAAGGAAUCCAAGUGCUCCCAUCUUGGCAACAAGAUCCAGUCUGCAGUGACAGCUGUUAGAGAGGGCCCGUCCUCCCAGCCUCGCUCCUACUGGCAGGUUUGGAGGCCAGGUGAAGUCAUCCUACCUGUUUCCAGAUCACUGACAUCAAUCCACGUUGCUAACUGCAUAAAUCAUCAGCAUCCACCAUCAUCCUCAACUCUAAAUGAAAGGGUGCCGUACUCCACCAAAGCAGAGAAGACAAAGAUGAAGCAGACAGACACAAAGAGGUCCAUGGCUGUGACAUAGGACACCUUGGGAAGCGACUUGCGGGCAAUGGUGCUGAGGGUAGUCAUGGUGAGGAC